CAAGUCGAGCGGGGUGAGGGGGCAACCUCUUAUUCAGCGGCGGACGGGUGAGUAAUGCAUCGGAACGUAUCCUGUAGUGGGGGACAACCCAGCGAAAGCUGGGCUAAUACCGCAUACNCUCGGGAGAGGAAAGCGGGGGACCUGAAAGGGCCUCGCGCUGGAGGGGCGGCCGAUGUCCGAUUAGCUAGUUGGUGGGGUAAAGGCCUACCAAGGCGACGAUCGGUAGCUGGUCUGAGAGGAUGAUCAGCCACACUGGGACUGAGACACGGCCCAGACUCCUACGGGAGGCAGCAGUGGGGAAUUUUGGACAAUGGGGGCAACCCUGAUCCAGCCAUGCCGCGUGCGGGAAGAAGGCCUUCGGGUUGUAAACCGCUUUUGGUCGGGAAGAAAGGGCGCAGGCUAAUAGCCUGUGCUGUUGACGGUACCGGCAGAAUAAGCACCGGCUAACUACGUGCCAGCAGCCGCGGUAAUACGUAGGGUGCGAGCGUUAAUCGGAAUUACUGGGCGUAAAGCGUGCGCAGGCGGUUCGUUGUGUCUGAUGUGAAAGCCCCGGGCUCAACUUGGGAAUGGCAUUGGAAACUGGCGAGCUAGAGUGUGGCAGAGGGGGGUGGAAUUCCGCGUGUAGCAGUGAAAUGCGUAGAGAUGCGGAGGAACACCGAUGGCGAGGGCAGCCCCCUGGGCUGACACUGACGCUCAAGGCACGAAAGCGUGGGGAGCAAAACAGGAUUAGAUACCCUGGUAGUCCACGCCCUAAACGAUGGCAACUGGGUGUUUGGGGAAACCAAUUCCUUGGGUACCGUAGCUAACGCGUGAAGUUGCCCUCCU
rnacentral:rRNA from 1 species